rnacentral:rRNA from 1 species
CUUUGUGGGAAUGGAUAUUCAUUAGAGGCGGAAAUUGAAACUAUCAAAAAGUACCAGGACAACGUUGAUAUUUUUUGUUGUGAUAAGUCUCUUGGCCAUCUAUUGGAUAAUGGAAUUGUCCCCACUUUUUGUAUGGU